CUUGACCAGAUUAUCCCAGUGCCUCAGACUCACCCGCUGCUGGUCUUUGUCAACCCGAAAAGUGGAGGGAAGCAAGGCGAGAGGGUCUUACGCAAGUUCCAGUACCUUCUGAACCCAAGACAAGUAUUCAACCUGGCGAAGGAUGGCCCGAAACCAGGACUUAAAGGACUUUUAACUGUGGAUAACCAAGCGAGCUUCUGAGCCGGUGGAAGUCUGAAGGUCUCUUUGUAUCUCGUUCACAGUUCCAUGCCGUUCAGCGACCUGUCAUUGGUAACUGGACAUAGGUCCACAAACUCAUCUGCUACUCAUCUGCACGCAACCCUCUGUCUCCAGUUCAUCUGCACCUUC